UGCCAGCCGCCGCGGUAAUACGGAGGGUGUAAGCGUUAAUCGGAAUUACUGGGCGUAAAGCGCGCGUAGGCGGCUCUUUAAGUCGGAUGUGAAAGCCCCGGGCUCAACCUGGGAACUGCAUCCGAUACUGGGGAGCUAGAGUGUAGGAGAGGGAGGUAGAAUUCCAUGUGUAGCAGUGAAAUGCGUAGAUAUAUGGAGGAAUACCAGUGGCGAAGGCGGCCUCCUGGCUUAACACUGACGCUGAGGUGCGAAAGCGUGGGGAGCAAACAGGAUUAGAUA
rnacentral:rRNA from 1 species